GUAUUUUGACUAUACGAAGGUAUUGAAAUAAGGCUUUAAAUGAGUGCUAAGAGAAUGGUUGAACAAUUAUAGGCUUUCUUUAAUUAAUAAAUUGAAGUUAAUGUUUUUGUGAAGAAGCAGGAAUGAAGAUUAGGGACAAGAAGACCCUAUGAAUUUUAUAAUUAAAAUAUAAAUUAUUUUUUAUAUUUUUUAAUUUUAAUUGGGGCGAUGAGAAAAGAAUAAUUAUCUUUUUUUUAAGGAAUUAAUUUGAUCCAUUAAUAGUGAUUAGAUGAUUAAAAUACUCUAGGGAUAACAGCGUAAUAAUUUCGGAUAGUUCAUAUAGAUGGAAUAGUUUGCGACCUCGAUGUUGGAUUAGGAUACUUUUUUGGUGGAGA
rnacentral:rRNA from 1 species